GGAUUUUUACCCAGGAAUAGUUAAAGUGAGAUUGCACGGUACAGGCCGAAAUUGCCAACUUGGAAGAGUUAACGUGAAGGGACACUAUAGUCACCAGAGCUACUACAGCUUUCUGUAUUUGUUCUGGUGAGUAGGAUCAUACCCUUUAUACUGUAAACAUGGUCUUUUCAGAGAAAAUGCAGUGUUUACAUUACAGCCUAGUGAUCACUUUACUGGCCACUCCUCAGAUGGCUGUUAGAG